AUAGCGUAUAUUAAAGUUGUUGCGGUUAAAAAGCUCGUAGUUGAAUCUGUGUCCCACGCUGUCGGUUCACCGCUCGCGGUGUUUAACUGGCAUGAUUGUGGGACGUCCUACCGGUGGGCUUAGCCUCUUCGGGGGCGGCCCAACUAAUAUCCCAUCGCGGUGCUCUUCGCUGAGUGUCGAGGUGGGCCGGUACGUUUACUUUGAACAAAUUAGAGUGCUUAAAGCAGGCUAGUUUCGCCUGAAUACUGUGUGCAUGGAAUAAUGGAAUAGGACCUCGGUUCUAUUUUGUUGGUUUUCGGAACCCCGAGGUAAUGAUUAAUAGGGACAGAUGGGGGCAUUCGUAUUGCGACGUUAGAGGUGAAAUUCUUGGAUCGUCGCAAGACGGACAGAAGCGAAAGCAUUUGCCAAAAAUGUUUUCUUUAAUCAAGAACGAAAGUUAGAGGUUCGAAGGCGAUCAGAUACCGCCCUAGUUCUAACCAUAAACGAUGCCAGCUAGCGAUCCGCCGAAGUUCCUCCGAUGACUCGGCGGGCAGCUUCCGGGAAACCAAAGCUUUUGGGUUCCGGGGGAAGUAUGGUUGCAAAGCUGAAACUUAAAGGAAUUGACGGAAGGGCACCACCAGGAGUGGAGCCUGCGGCUUAAUUUGACUCAACACGGGAAACCUCACCAGGCCCGGACACCGGAAGGAUUGACAGAUUGAGAGCUCUUUCUUGAUUCGGUGGGUGGUGGUGCAUGGCCGUUCUUAGUUGGUGGAGCGAUUUGUCUGGUUAAUUCCGAUAACGAACGAGACUCUAGCCUGCUAAAUAGGCGUACUUUCCGGUAUCUCGAAGGCCCCCGGCUUCGGUCGGGUGGUUUUUACUACCGGCGUACAAAUAAAUCUUCUUAGAGGGAC
rnacentral:rRNA from 1 species